rnacentral:rRNA from 1 species
GACGAACGCUGGCGGCGUGCCUAAUACAUGCAAGUUGAGCGAUGAAGAUUGGUGCUUGCACCAAUUUGAAGAGCAGCGAACGGGUGAGUAACGCGUGGGGAAUCUGCCUUUGAGCGGGGGACAACAUUUGGAAACGAAUGCUAAUACCGCAUAACAACUUUAAACAUAAGUUUUAAGUUUGAAAGAUGCAAUUGCAUCACUCAAAGAUGAUCCCGCGUUGUAUUAGCUAGUUGGUGAGGUAAAGGCUCACCAAGGCGAUAAUACAUAGCCGACCUGAGAGGGUGAUCGGCCACAUUGGGACUGAGACACGGCCCAAACUCCUACGGGAGGCAGCAGUAGGGAAUCUUCGGCAAUGGACGAAAGUCUGACCGAGCAACGCCGCGUGAGUGAAGAAGGUUUUCGGAUCGUAAAACUCUGUUGGUAGAGAAGAACGUUGGUGAGAGUGGAAAGCUCAUCAAGUGACGGUAACUACCCAGAAAGGGACGGCUAACUACGUG